CAUCAGCCUACCCAAACUAAUGGUACAAAACGUACCUAUGGGUAGAGUACCAGUCUGAUGGGCACUGAAGGCACCAUGCCUGGUUGAGCAGCGCAAGCACUACUGGCGAUUUUCUCUCGGAGCGUUUAUUAUAUACCUUUUGGUUGGUAGGUGCGAAAUACUCCACGCGCGAAUAACGUGCGGUGCCGCCAUUAUUCGCGCGACAUUUGUCAACAACUUUGCACCAAGUAAACAAGGCUUUAAAAAGUAUUACAAACGCUGGAAAAGGACGAAUUAUUGGUUUGGGAUUACUUUGGAGAUGAUGCCAAGUGUAUUUUGAGUUACAUGAGUAGAAUAACAAUGCCAGGUGGCCAUUAAUCAUUACGAUAGGAUUAAUCAAUGGAGGAAAUUCGGUUCAUCUGUCAUCACUUCCUGGAUCCACUGAAAUGGAAAAGUCACGACAGGGACGAAUCACAAAUCUGCAUACCACCAGUGUCCUGAUUUCACAAAUAUCCACAUUUUUUAUACAAUUAACACAGUUACAUAAUAUAUUCCUUUGAAAUGUCCAAAAAGUCCAGCACACGUCCACUUAUUUCGAAUUCAGCAUCAUCGGAAAAUGGUCAGGAUCCAUAUCCGGAAUUACAUCACUCGACCUGGAAGGAUUCCUCAAGGUUGGGCUAUAUCUGAUGCCUUUGAUGGAGAAGGAGGAUUGGAAACGGGUGUGGCUAGCCUAUCAUUCUCCAAGUUGUUACGUGAAGAUGGACGGGACUUAAAAGUUACUUCAAAACUUUCUUCUAAUUCCAUCUUGUACA